UACGUAGGGUGCAAGCGUUAAUCGGAAUUACUGGGCGUAAAGCGUGCGCAGGCGGUUCUAUAAGACAGAUGUGAAAUCCCCGGGCUCAACCUGGGAACUGCAUUUGUGACUGUAGAGCUGGAGUACGGUAGAGGGGGAUGGAAUUCCGCGUGUAGCAGUGAAAUGCGUAGAUAUGCGGAGGAACACCGAUGGCGAAGGCAAUCCCCUGGACCUGUACUGACGCUCAUGCACGAAAGCGUGGGGAGCGAACAGG
rnacentral:rRNA from 1 species